rnacentral:rRNA from 1 species
AUUGAACGCUGGCGGUAUGCUUAACACAUGCAAGUCGAACGGUAGCAGGCCUUCGGGCGCUGACGAGUGGCGGACGGGUGAGUAACGCGUAGGAAUCUGCCUGUUAGUGGGGGACAACGUGGGGAAACUCAAGCUAAUACCGCAUACGCUCUACGGAGGAAAGCGGGGGACCUUCGGGCCUCGCGCUAUGAGAUGAGCCUGCGUGGGAUUAGCUAGUUGGUGGGGUAAAGGCCUACCAAGGCGACGAUCCCUAGCUGGUCUGAGAGGACGAUCAGCCACACUGGGACUGAGACACGGCCCAGACUCCUACGGGUGGCAG